UACGUAGGGCGCAAGCGUUGUCCGGAAUUAUUGGGCGUAAAGAGCUCGUAGGCGGCUUGUCACGUCGAUUGUGAAAGCCCGAGGCUUAACCUCGGGUCUGCAGUCGAUACGGGCUAGCUAGAGUGUGGUAGGGGAGAUCGGAAUUCCUGGUGUAGCGGUGAAAUGCGCAGAUAUCAGGAGGAACACCGGUGGCGAAGGCGGAUCUCUCUGCCAUUACUGACGCUGAGGAGCGAAAGCGUGGGGAGCGAACAGG
rnacentral:rRNA from 1 species